rnacentral:rRNA from 1 species
ACGCUCGACACCUACGGGGGCAGCAGUGGGGAAUAUUGCACAAUGGGGGAAGCCCUGAUGCAGCGACGCCGCGUGGAGGAAGAAGGUCUUCGGAUUGUAAACUCCUGUUGUUGGGGAAAAAGAGGAUGGUACCCAACAAGGAAGUGACGGCUAACUACGUGCCGGCAGCCGCGGUAAUCUGAGCGGGCUGGCAAGGC